rnacentral:rRNA from 1 species
UACGUAGGGUGCAAGCGUUAAUCGGAAUUACUGGGCGUAAAGCGUGCGCAGGCGGUUAUGCAAGUCAGAGGUGAAAUCCCCGGGCUCAACCUGGGAACUGCCUUUGUGACUGCAUGGCUAGAGUACGGUAGAGGGGGAUGGAAUUCCGCGUGUAGCAGUGAAAUGCGUAGAUAUCAGGAAGAACACCCGUGGCGAAAGCGGCUCUCUAGAACGGUACUGACGCUGAGACGCGAAAGCGUGGGGAGCGAACAGG